AGACUUUUAGCUCUCUUGGUAAGAGUAAACAGCUCGUAGUCGUCCGGUUGUAGGUUCAAAUCCUACAAGGUCCAUCA
rnacentral:tRNA from 1 species